rnacentral:tRNA from 1 species
GAGGACUUAGCUUAAGUUAAAGUAGCUAAUUUGCAGUUAGUUGAUGUAGAGUGAGUCUUUGCAGUCCUUA